CCACGCCGCCCGCCCCCACGCCCCCACGCCCCACGACGCCCACCCCCACACCACUAUGCCCCCACGUGCCACGACGCCACGCCCCACGACGUCCUCCCUCACGCCCCCACGCCGCCCGCCCCCACGCCCCACGCCCCACGCCCCACGCCGUCCGCCCCCAAGCCCCCACGCCCCACGACGCCAGUCCCUAUGACGCCACGCCCGGGCAGCUUUGCGGGAAGGCGGCAGAACCCUGCGGCUGCGGAUGGAGCUGGCCGGCGGGGACUCUAGGGGACCGUCAGCUUUCAAAGGAGCCCCCUCCAAACCAGUGUUUCUGAAGCCCGGGAACAGACGCUCCGUCCGCCAGCGCUCAGAGAGGCCGCGGUUGAACUCCAAUAGCAGGAGAGCGGCUUUGAGUCGGCCCGAGAGGACCCUGUUUCUGAUGACAACGUGCAGUGUUCCGGAAGUUCCACCGAGAUGCCGUCGGCAUUGCUUUGCCUCAGAGCCCAGCCUCCUGCCGGACGUGGUGCCACAGAGGUCCCGUGUGCCUUGCGGCUGGCGUCUCGUUGAGUCUGCUCCGAUGUGUGACUCCUUUCUGCCCAGUGCAUGAGAUCUGAGAGACAACGUCAUGUACAUGUUCACUGGCCUCAGGAUCAGCCUAGUUCAGAUAUUAGCUCCGUCACAGAUUAGCUAUUGAAACCAUAUGACAUUUGAGUGACUUUCUUCAUCUUGCCGGGACUCAAUUUCUUUUCUUUUGUAAAGAAAAAUAAUAUAGUCCCUUUUUUCAGAAGAAACAAGAUAACAGUAAAGCAUGUAACCUAAACCUGUUAGAUAGUAAUUGUUGAGCAAAAUUUAGCUGUUGUUUUUCCUAAUUGUGGGGGAACUCCAAUUAUCAUAAAGUAUUAUUUUAUAUAUUCUCAAACACUUCAUACUGUAACUGUUUUUAUUAUAUAAUCAUCUUUGGUGGCAACAGUUAAAGCAAGCUUAUGUCACCUUCAGCAGGGUAACUCUUUAACUGGUAUGUCCUGGUGAAAAUUUUUCAUACAACUUCUAUGCAUUUUGCUUCACCCGUGAGUCAACAUAUCACUUUAAAUAUUUUUAAAGAAUCCUUAUUAAAAACUUGUUCACAAAGAUCUUGCAUAUUUGAAAAAGAAAGUGGUAGUGUAAAUACUUAUCUCUCAGAUUAAAUGGCUCUUCAGGCCUUCAGGUCUCCAGGUCUCACUAGUAAAGCUAAAGAAACGUAAUAAAGAAAUAAAAAUAGAUCA
rnacentral:lncRNA from 1 species